GUUCCGGCCGCGAUCUGCUGCAGCUCGGCCGGGAGACAGCGCGACCCGGCGGCGGGGCCACCCGCGAGUCCAGCGUCGCCGCAGCCCCCCAAUGCGGCCGCGAGAAGCAGCGGGGGGGCAGGCGAUCGAAGCAGCCUCUAGAAGACCAGCGUUCUCGUGAUUAUGGAGGCCCCUCUGUCCUUUCUGUGACGGGAGCAAUGCCGACCUCAGUUUCCCGGACCCAUUCCGACUCAGGUAAUUACACUGCCUUCCCCAGUUCGCCAUGCCUUACGUA
rnacentral:lncRNA from 1 species